CAUUUUAGGUACGAAGAUCGCAUACAUCUGCGGAGACCGCAGCUUGACUUCUCUGCUCCUUCUUUCCCCUAUGUGUUCGAGCAACCUAGGUGAGCGACGGCGAAGUAUAAGUCGAGAAGUGCCCAGUGCUGACAGCGAUAAGCACCCGGCCCGAUUUAUUGUAUACCCGGUAGCUUUAUGUGUCUUGUCUUUCCACAAAGAAAGAAAAAAAGGAAAACAAUGAGUGUUCUUUUCCACAAAGAAAAGGAAAUGCAUUUUUUUGUUUGUAAACGUUCCGUGCCAAGACAAAAAGGUAAAUGAUAAUGUAAAUGAAGUUAAGGAGAAUGUCUUUGGUCAUAAGUAAAUAAGUUUCUCGUAGCAAUAAAGUAUAAACACUCUAUUGAUUUUUCCAAUAAAUAGAAAGACGCUCUGUAACCGGUAGGAUGUACUGAAUCACGUAGUAAAGGUUGGAUUACAUGAAUGAUGUAUAUUAUAUACUCGAUAAGAAAAGCUUGUUGUUAUACAAUUGCGUGUGAGAAUGUGGCUAACCGAGUGUGAGAAUGUUGUUAUAAGCUAAAGUACGAAGCAAACGAAAGAGGAGUGACGUGAUGGGGAGAAGUUAGAGUCUAGUUUUUAGAGUGUUACCUUCUGUACCUGUAACCGUAGCAGACACUCUGCCAAGGGGUCCUAGUCGUCGUAGUUCCUGUCGUUGCGGACGCGGGUUACUCUUACUGAUAGACUAUCAUUAAGGAAUUCGGGUGUAUAAGCGGGACCACGACUUUCGAGACUUCAAUGGGGGCCGUUGAAUAAUAGUGUUCUAUACGGGUCCGCCUUUCUUAGUACACUGCCAAUGAAAGUAAAGAAGAAACCUUAACGAGCUACCACGUGAACAAGGUUCAAGAGACAGUCCACGUUAGAAUCUAUCGAUACUUCUACGACUUCUGUCACGACGAUAACUUCGAUAAUCUAUGUACCUUUUACGUAUACCGUUUCUUUACUCCCUCAUGGUGAUGUGAGUACAGUUCUUCGAAGUUUUAGAUCACUGCGUGGACCAGUUUACCGACCAACGUAGUUUAUUUUGUUAGUUCUUCGACACGUUUUGUACGAUGAUGCGACAGUCCAUAUACUCGAGUAUAAGACGGGUUUAUCUUUUGUGUUGCUGACGAGCCGUAAACUUUCCCGCCCUAUCGUUUCCCUCAAUACUUUUGUCGCGACCGUUCGUAACUUCCUGACUGCGUCUCCGAUGCGAUGUAACGAUACUUCAAACUCGUCGC
rnacentral:rRNA from 1 species